rnacentral:rRNA from 1 species
UACGUAGGGGGCUAGCGUUGUCCGGAAUCAUUGGGCGUAAAGAGCGUGUAGGCGGUCCGGUAAGUCCGCUGUGAAAGUCGGGGGCUCAACCCUCGAAUGCCGGUGGAUACUGUCGGGCUAGAGUGCGGAAGAGGCGAGUGGAAUUCCUGGUGUAGCGGUGAAAUGCGCAGAUAUCAGGAGGAACACCUGUGGCGAAAGCGGCUCACUGGACCACAACUGACGCUGAGGCGCGAAAGCGUGGGGAGCGAACAGG